rnacentral:tRNA from 1 species
AACCUCUUUUAUUUAACUUUGAAAGUUGAAAUCAGAGCACAGUGCUCUAAGGGUUA